rnacentral:rRNA from 1 species
UACGGGGGGGGCAAGCGUUGUUCGGAAUUACUGGGCGUAAAGGGCUCGUAGGUGGCCAACUAAGUCGGACGUGAAAUCCCUCGGCUUAACCGGGGAACUGCAUCCGAUACUGGAUGGCUUGAGUUCGGGAGAGGGAUGCGGAAUUCCAGGUGUAGCGGUGAAAUGCGUAGAUAUCUGGAGGAACACCGGUGGCGAAGGCGGGUCUCUGGGCCGAUACUGACGCUGAGGAGCGAAAGCGUGGGGAGCGAACAGG